AGCAAAGCCAAGCCAAGAGAAAACUCUGUUUCCUCUGUUUCUGUUCUCUUCCUCUGCUUAUUUCUCCAGUCCCAUUCUCUCCUCUUCUCCUUCUUUUUCUAUUGCAGAAUUGAAUGUUAGAUUGCAAGCAUAUAGCAUGGCAGUAUCAACGGAGGGGUGGCCAGAGGGACUCAGAUUCAAACCAACGGAGGACGAAUUCAUUGGUCAUUGAUUGACGAAAAAACUCAAAGGAGAAAUGGAAACCAAAUGCGUAAUUCCCGAGCUAUACAUCUGCAACUGGGAGCCUUCGGAUUUAUUUAUCCUAUGUGAUGACAACUUACAUUUAGCCCUUAGUGUUUUUAUAUUUCUCUAUGCUCUUAUGAUAUGGAAAUUGGUAGUUGCCUAUAACACCUUAGUGAACUAACAUUAAACAUUAGUUGCUUGUAUCAUUAUCAAGUGGACCAUUGGAUUAACGCAAGAGUUUCUUCUUUUGUCCCCGUGGUUGUAAGAGGAAGACCGAGUGCAGAUUUUGGAAAGAGACAAGUUACAGACACGUUACAUGAGCACCAGACACCGCUAAGCCAAUGGGGACCAAGAGGAUUUUGGUUUACUAUGAAGAUGGCGUUGGUUCUCUGUCAGCAUAAUAAACAGGAAAAGUAAGAAAGCAAAGUCAGCGAAAGCGAGUACGUCAACCGAUUUAAGCGGCCUUAAUAAGCUGAAUGAUUCCCAAAAUGAAGGAACACAAGCAAUUAGUGCACGGUGAGCAAAUAGUUACUAUUGAACUGGACAUUCUGAACGACACAUCGAAUUCUAAUUUACCAGACCGGACUGUACCUACUCCUAAUUAGCAGCCUCGACCGUGCAAAGAGCAACUCUUGUCUUAUGAUGACCAUCAGCAUGUCGACGGACCUAGUGACAGACCUUGCUACAUGCCAUUAACUCCGAGCGACGGUAUCGAUCUCUUGGAUCUCUUGAACUUUGACAAGAGGACGGAUUAGUAUGAUAAACCGCACUGCAUGUGUAGAUUUUGGUGUAAAAACCAGUGUUGAAUUAUUGCAAUGGAUUGCCUGUGUUUGAGGACUUUUAUAGAUGUUAAUCUCAGCUUGCUUAUUAUAUCAGUGAUAAUGCU